rnacentral:tRNA from 1 species
ACCGAGGGGUCUGUAGCUCAGUUGGUAAAAGGCGUCGGCUCGCAAGCAGGAGAUUGCAGGUUCAAUCCCUGGCAGCGGCU